rnacentral:rRNA from 1 species
GACGAACGCUGGCGGCGUGCUUAACACAUGCAAGUCGAGCGGUAAGGCCCUUUCGGGGGGUACACGAGCGGCGAACGGGUGAGUAACACGUGGGUGACCUGCCCUCAGCUCUGGGAUAAGCCUGGGAAAACCGGGUCUAAUACCGGAUAUGACUCCAUGACGCAUGUUGUGGGGUGGAAAGCCUUGUGCGGCUGAGGAUGGGGCCCGCGGCCUAUCAGCUUGUUGGUGGGGUGAUGGCCUACCAAGGCGACGACGGGUAGCCGGCCUGAGAGGGCGACCGGCCACAC